UGUUUAUGAUGAUAUUUGUAUUUGCUAUCUGAGUUCUGAAGACAUUCUUAACCACCAAGAUCUCUGAAGCA
rnacentral:snoRNA from 1 species